UUUGUGUCUCGCCAUGACAUUUUUAUCCCAAAUGACACAAGCCUCGAUAUCGGUAAAAUGACGUUGAAGUUGACGUCACUUAAUUAGACAAUUGUUUUCAUUAAUUUGUUUUUAAAGCAACAGCCAUUAGUGUUAAAAUCAAUAAUAUCGGACGAAGAUUUUUAAGUUUAAACGUUUCAACAUUUAGUUAUCGCACUAGAUUCUAGUACUUAGUGAAAUAUCACAAAUAAUGAGUGAAUUAGCGAAUUGUUUCCCUUUGAAAUAUACACGCCAUUAACGGUGUAUACAUGUGUGAAACUGGGUCAGAGAAAACAUGCAGUUAUUGCUCUGAAUAUACGCGGAUAUUUAAAGUGCGUGGCGGAUUUAUUGGUUGUUAUGGACAACCUCCAGCAGUAUGAGAUAUAAAUGUUCACUGCAGUUCUGACUAUGCUCAACAAGUACUAUACUCAUACUAUGCUCAGCAAGUGGAGUUGCUGUCAGUUCUCAACUCUCAUGCAGGCUCUCAGAUUUUCUACCUAGUGUAUGAAAAGUACAGUACUGCUGUUGGAAGAGGAAAAGUGUGGUAUCUAUGGUCCACCAUCACUUCAAGCAUUAUGGCUAUUUAUAAAAGAAGGUUUCAUUACAUAUGGACAAUUAUAUUGGACAAAAUAAGAAGUGUUCUAAUAAGUUCUGGAAUGUGGCUUGUUAUGAUGGGUCUACCUGAUUGACUUGGAGUACAACCUGAUGGGGGCUGGGCUUGCAGAAUUCAGUCCUGAACAUGUUUAGAAUGUCUUCUGCAUGACCUAGUAUAGUAUUCUUGAAGGAUUAUAACUUCAACACAGAGACAGAGAUUAAUAUUUUAGGCAGAGGAUUGGCAUGACAGGCAAAUUCUCCAACUGUAUUACCAUUCCUGAGCUGGAUGCCAGUCGACAGUGGUACCUGUAUAAUGAAAUAGCGCCCCUUUGCAGCAACAGCAAUGUAUGCUGAAAACUAGCAGUGCCAAAGCCAUUAAAAUUGAGAACUCAGUCAUUCAAAAUGAAGAAUGAAUGGAAAAAAAGUGUUUAACAUUUAAAGUAAUACAGAGAAAGAGCUCAGCUCAUUUGGUAUUUUCUGAAAUUUUAAUUAAUUUGUUUUUUAAAGGUGUACUAGACCCAAAUUCCAUAUAUAUGAAUAUGAAAAAAUGCUACAUAUAGUUAUGUAAACAUUGAAUUAACAAGUUUAUGGAGUCAACAGUACUAUGGAUUGGAAUAUAGACACACUGUAUGUAUGUAAGGCUGACCACAGUAUAAAUGUUAAAUUCCUGUAAGACCUACUGUUUAGUACUGCAUGACUUAAAACUAUGAAUGUAGCUCUACAUACACAGUUGGUUUAUACAUUAAGCAAAGUUAAAUAUAUUUGUUGAUGAUUUUCUACAGUUGAAGUAAUUACCUAAAUAUUAGAAAUUUUAGUGAAGAUAUAUUUUAUGCAACUACAUGUAUGUAAGUUGAAAAAAGCUACCCUCCAGGAAGAAUAUUUUGAAAUGAUACUUUUACUUGAAAAUUUAUGUGAAAAAUGAAGGAAAUAGAUGUUAAAAUGAAUUCUUUAUUUUAUAAAAAAUGUUGUUGCCAUGGAAACAGAACUUGAGUAUUAAGUUUAUCUGCUUUCAUACCAGAGUAAUAUAACUUUUAAUUAUAAUUAUGUAAAUAAUUUAAUGUUAUAUAAUCAUCACUGAUACUUUUAAUUUUCAAUUUACACUGUCAUUGAGCAAUGCAUCUUAAGUACAUUUGAAGUUGAAUGACACAUUACAAAUAUUAGAUAUUUAUGGAAUUGCUUUUAGAUAUUUUUGAGAUGAAUAUAAAUCAGAAAAAUCACAAAUUCUAGUUCUUCUAGAGAACUAAUAUAUAUUUUAUAAAUAUACAUUUUUUUUUGUAUCAAACGUAGGCUAAAAUGUCUGUUAAAUUGACAUAUAAAGCAAUUCUUGUAUUUUGUUGCUAUGGAAACAUAAAUUGUGACAAUUUUUUUUAUAAUAUAAAAUAGCAUAUUUAUAGCAAGAAGGUAUUAUCAACUGUGCUAAUCAUGUUAGAUACUUUUGAUAUUGAUGGCAAAAUAUGAAAUUAAAAUAUAUGAUAAAAGUAAAUGGUUUUAGUAUUUGUCAUUAUUAUUAAACAAAAAGUGCAAGUUUGCAAUGGGGAGUUAUUGUACAAAAAAUGCUAUAAUUUUGUUAUUUUAAAACAUGCAGGUCUAAAAUUUUGAAUUUAUGUUAAGGAUACAUGUACAGUUCAGAAUAUGUGAAAAACUCAGUUUCCAUAAAAAUGUCAUUUGGGACCAUUUUGUCAUGGCUUGUCACAUUUACUUACAUAUACCAGAAAGUUAUAACUUAUGCCUGGGUUUGCAUUCUGGAAGUCUACAAUUGUUAACAGCUUUUUAUAUCUAUCAGUACCAAUCAUCUUACUUUAAA